CCAUCUUACCCCAGCCCGCUAUGCGGCUUUACAGUAGGGUGGGGGAAGAUGGGACAC
rnacentral:miRNA from 1 species